GGGAUGUGAUGAGUGGUUGGCUCUCGCAAUUAAAAAUGUGAGAAGGGUGUCCGCCCCAAAGCCUGGUUACGACAAACGGGCAUUCUCAUCUUAACCAAUCUGAUCCC